rnacentral:rRNA from 1 species
UGCGAUCAUACCAAAGACUAAUGCACCGGAUCCCAUCGGAACUCCGCAGUUAAGAGUGCUUGGGCGAGAGUAGUACUAGGAUGGUUGCUCGGAAGUCCUCGUGUUGCAC